rnacentral:rRNA from 1 species
GAUGAACGCUGGCGGCGUGCCUAACACAUGCAAGUCGAACGGAGUUGAGGAGCUUGCUCCAAAACUUAGUGGCGGACGGGUGAGUAACACGUGGGUAACCUGCCCUUAAGAGGGGGAUAACAGUUGGAAACGACUGCUAAUACCGCAUAAAGUUAAGAGUUCGCAUGGACUUUUAACCAAAGGAGCAAUCCGCUUUUGGAUGGACCCGCGUCUGAUUAGCUAGUUGGUGAGGUAACGGCUCACCAAGGCGACGAUCAGUAGCCGGCCUGAGAGGGUGAACGGCCACACUGGGACUGAGACACAGCCCAGACUCCUACGGGAGGCAGCAGUGGGGAAUCUUCCACAAUGGACGAAAGUCUGAUGGAGCAACGCCGCGUGAGUGAAGAAGGUUCUCGGAUCGUAAAACUCUGUUGUGAGGGAAGAACAAGUACCGGAGUAACUGCCGGUGCCUUGACGGUACCUCAUUAGAAAGCCACGGCUAACUACGUGCCAGCCGCCGCAGUAACAC